rnacentral:rRNA from 1 species
GAUUAUGGCUCAGAUUGAACGCUGGCGGCAGGCCUAACACAUGCAAGUCGAGCGGAUGACGGGAGCUUGCUCCUUGAUUCAGCGGCGGACGGGUGAGUAAUGCCUAGGAAUCUGCCUGGUAGUGGGGGACAACGUUUCGAAAGGAACGCUAAUACCGCAUACGUCCUACGGGAGAAAGCAGGGGACCUUCGGGCCUUGCGCUAUCAGAUGAGCCUAGGUCGGAUUAGCUAGUUGGUGGGGUAAUGGCUCACCAAGGCGACGAUCCGUAACUGGUCUGAGAGGAUGAUCAGUCACACUGGAACUGAGACACGGUCCAGACUCCUACGGGAGGCAGCAGUGGGGAAUAUUGGACAAUGGGCGAAAGCCUGAUCCAGCCAUGCCGCGUGUGUGAAGAAGGUCUUCGGAUUGUAAAGCACUUUAAGUUGGGAGGAAGGGCAGUAAGYUAAUACCUUGCUGUUUUGACGUUACCGACAGAAUAAGCACCGGCUAACUCUGUGCCAGCAGCCGCGGUAAUACAGAGGGUGCAAGCGUUAAUCGGAAUUACUGGGCGUAAAGCGCGCGUAGGUGGUUUGUUAAGUUGGAUGUGAAAGCCCCGGGCUCAACCUGGGAACUGCAUCCAAAACUGGCAAGCUAGAGUACGGUAGAGGGUGGUGGAAUUUCCUGUGUAGCGGUGAAAUGCGUAGAUAUAGGAAGGAACACCAGUGGCGAAGGCG